rnacentral:rRNA from 1 species
UAAGCGGAGGAAAAGAAACUAACAAGGAUUCCCCUAGUAACGGCGAGUGAAGCGGGAAGAGCUCAAAUUUGAAAUCUGGUGGCCUCAGGUCAUCCGAGUUGUAAUCUAUAGAAGUGUUUUCCGUGCUGGCUCAUGUACAAGUCCCUUGGAACAGGGCGUCAUAGAGGGUGAGAAUCCCGUCCUUGACAUGAACUACCAGUGCUCUGUGAUACAUUUUCAACGAGUCGAGUUGUUUGGGAAUGCAGCUCAAAAUGGGUGGUAAAUUCCAUCUAAAGCUAAAUAUUGGCGAGAGACCGAUAGCGAACAAGUACCGUGAGGGAAAGAUGAAAAGCACUUUGGAAAGAGAGUUAAACAGUAUGUGAAAUUGUUGAAAGGGAAACGAUUGAAGUCAGUCGUGCUCUUUGGAUUCAGCCGGUUCUGCCGGUGUACUUCCUUUGAGUGGGGUCAACAUCAGUUUUGAUCGCUGGAUAAAGGCAGGAGGAACGUAGUACCCUCGGGUAAACUUAUAGCCUCUUGUCACAUACAGUGGUUGGGACUGAGGAACGCAGCACGCCUUUAUGGCCGGGAUUCGUCCACGUACGUGCUUAGGAUGUUGACAUAAUGGCUUUAAACGACCCGUCUUGAAACACG